GACGAACGCUGGCGGCGUGCUUAACACAUGCCAGUCGAACGGAAAGGCCCUGCUUUUGUGGGGUUCUCGAGUGGCGAACGGGUGAGUAACACGUGAGUAACCUGCCCUUGACUUUGGGAUAACUUCAGGAAACUGGGGCUAAUACCGGAUAGGAGCUCCUGCUGCAUGGUGGGGGUUGGAAAGUUUCGGCGGUUGGGGAUGGACUCGCGGCUUAUCAGCUUGUUGGUGGGGUAGUGGCUUACCAAGGCUUUGACGGGUAGCCGGCCUGAGCGGGUGACCGGCCACAUUGGGACUGAGAGACGGCCGAGACUCCUACGGGAGGGAGCAGUGGGGAAUAUUGCAGGAUGGGCGGAAGCCUGAUGCAGCAACGCCGCGUGCGGGAUAACGGCCUUCGGGUUGUAAACCGCUUGCGCCUGUGACGAAGCGUGAGUGACGGGAAUGGGUAAAGAAGCACCGGCUAACUACGUG
rnacentral:rRNA from 1 species